rnacentral:rRNA from 1 species
GUAAGGAAUAUUGGUCAAUGGACGAAAGUCUGAACCAGCCAUGCCGCGUGAAGGAUGAAGGCCCUCUGGGUUGUAAACUUCUUUUAUCUGGGACGAAAAAAGGGUAUUCUUACUCACUUGACGGUACCAGAGGAAUAAGCACCGGCUAACUCCGUGCCAGCAGCCGCGGUAAUACGGAGGGUGCAAGCGUUAUCCGGAUUCACUGGGUUUAAAGGGUGCGUAGGUGGGUAUUUAAGUCAGUGGUGAAAUCUCCGAGCUUAACUCGGAAACUGCCAUUGAUACUAGUUACCUUGAAUGCCCUGGAGGUAAGCGGAAUAUGUCAUGUAGCGGUGAAAUGCUUAGAUAUGACAUAGAACACCAAUUGCGAAGGCAGCUUACUACGGGGUGAUUGACACUGAGGCACGAAAGCGUGGGGAGCAAACAGGAUUAGAAACCCUGGUAGUCC